rnacentral:SRP_RNA from 1 species
UGUUCGUCCCCUCGCGACGCUAGGCCGGGAACCCCGCCAGGUCCGGAAGGAAGCAACGGUACCGGCUGACGCGGGCGCCGAGGUUCCGGCGGGCAGCG